UACAGGGGGUGCAAACGUUGCUCGGAAUCAUUGGGCGUAAAGCGCACGUAGGCGGUUUGUUAUGUCGGAUGUGAAAGCCCUUGGCUCAACUGAGGAAGUGCAUCCGAAACUGGCAAGCUAGAGUACUAAAGAGGGUCGCGGAAUUCCCGGUGUAGAGGUGAAAUUCGUAGAUAUCGGGAGGAACACCGGUGGCGAAGGCGGCUCACUGGCCCGGUACUGACGCUGAGGCGCGAAAGCGUGGGGAGCAAACAGG
rnacentral:rRNA from 1 species